CAAGAGCAUCUCAUCCUCCGGCUGCUGAGUCAUCCUGCUCUGGCAGUUAUUUAAACAGAAGGCUCCAGGAGACAUACAAUCAACACUCCACUCAGACAAUGCCCAGACCUCCAGAAACCAUGUGUCAAGCUCGGAUUGCCUUAGACAGGUGCAAUUUAAGAACAGCUUUCAUCCUCUUUUCUCUCAUAUUGUCACACUAUGUGUUCUGACUUCUGGCUCCUUUCCUCACAAGAAGCUCACCCAGCUGGAACUCUUAUGGGACCUUGGCACCAGAGACCACAAAUUCCUCUUUGAAGUUUUCUAACAGCAACAAUGGUAUUUCUGACUUGGCUUUCUUGUAUUUCUCUCACGUUAACAAAAUUGGUUCAGCAUCUACCAUGGGCUACAUGCUGAGCUACAGAGUUUCGCUCUGUCGCCCAGGCUGGAGUGCAGUGGCGCGCGAUCUCGGUUCACUGCAAGCUCCACCUCCCGGGUUCACGCCAUUCUCCUGCCUCAGCCUCCUGAGUAGCUGGGACUACAGGCGCCCGCCACCACACCCAGGAAUCCAACUUGCUGUUUGCUAUCACAUGUGCUAUACAUGCUGUUGAUGAAACUGCUAAAGGGGCUGAAUGUGACUGACGUCUUUGGAAGGAUGAGACUUAGCGUGCCUGUACAGUUGUGUCCAAAUGCUGUCCUCAUCUCCCAAUGAAAAGGGUUUUUCCUUAAGCCUCACAACAAUUUACAGCAUUGCCAGCAGCAUUCAGUACAUUCAGAACAGGAUAAUUUCACCCGCAGCUGAACUAGGGCCAUGCCUGGGACAGACAGAGAAUGGCCUUCCAGCAGACAUGCCAAGAAGCAAGCCAGGGUCAGUGAGUGAAGAGGAGGGCAGGCCCAUUUGAAGCAACACAGUUUAUUGACUGGAGGCCAGUUUCAAUCCACUGAAGCACAGAUUCCAAAUUUUCAAUCUGGUUUUCUUGAGUAGUGACUGAGUGCCAAAAAUGAAGCAAUGACACAACAUCACCAUCAAGACACUCCCCAGCACGCACACACAUGCCAGAGUCCAACACCAAGAUACUCCCCAGCACGCACACACACGCCAGAGUCCAGGCCAUAUUCGGGUGGCUUGCAAGCUUCUUCCCCCCAAGUAUUUACUCUCAAAAUAAUGGUUUUUGUUUUGUUUUGGUUUGGUUUGGUUUGUUUUUUUCCAAAUACAUUUCUUCCCUAUAUCUUUAACCAAUUCUCAUAAAAUUUUGUCUAAUACACUGGUCAGUGUAUUCCAGACCCUAAAAGAUAACAUAAUGAAACUAUCUAUGACUAAAAGGUAAUCAGGAUCUUCUACUUAUCCUUUUUUCCUCCCUCUUAAACUUUAAUUUUGAUACAUUUGGGAGUGAAAUGAUGACAAUAAAUGCAAAGUAAUUAUUGAAGAAA
ensembl:lncRNA LUCAT1 lung cancer associated transcript 1